GACGAACGCUGGCGGCGUGCUUAACACAUGCAAGUCGAACGGUGAAGGGAUCAGCUUGCUGGUUCUGGAUGAGUGGCGAACGGGUGAGUAACACGUGAGUAACCUGCCCCCUUCUUCUGGAUAACCGCAUGAAAGUGUGGCUAAUACGGGAUAUUCUGCGCCUGCUGCAUGGUGGGUGUGGGAAAGAUAUUGUUUCGGUGGGGGAUGGGCUCGCGGCCUAUCAGCUUGUUGGUGGGGUGAUGGCCUACCAAGGCGGUGACGGGUAGCCGGCCUGAGAGGGUGGACGGUCACACUGGGACUGAGACACGGCCCAGACUCCUACGGGAGGCAGCAGUGGGGAAUAUUGCACAAUGGGCGCAAGCCUGAUGCAGCGACGCCGCGUGAGGGAGGGAGGCCUUCGGGUUGUGAACCUCUUUCGCCAGUGAAGCAGGCCCGUCCCUUGUGGGUGGGUUGACGGUAGCUGGAUAAGAAGCGCCGGCUAACUACGUG
rnacentral:rRNA from 1 species